AUUGAACGCUGGCGGCAUGCUUUACACAUGCAAGUCGAACGGUAACAGGCCGCAAGGUGCUGACGAGUGGCGAACGGGUGAGUAAUGCAUCGGAACGUGCCCAGUCGUGGGGGAUAACGCAGCGAAAGCUGCGCUAAUACCGCAUACGAUCUAUGGAUGAAAGCGGGGGACCGUAAGGCCUCGCGCGAUUGGAGCGGCCGAUGUCAGAUUAGGUAGUUGGUGGGGUAAAGGCUCACCAAGCCAACGAUCUGUAGCUGGUCUGAGAGGACGACCAGCCACACGGGGACUGGGACAAGGCCCAGACUCCUACGGGAGGCAGCAGUGGGGAAUUUUGGACAAUGGGCGCAAGCCUGAUCCAGCAAUGCCGCGUGCAGGAAGAAGGCCUUCGGGUUGUAAACUGCUUUUGUACGGAACGAAACGGUCCUGGUUAAUACCCGGGGCUAAUGACGGUACCGUAAGAAUAAGCACCGGCUAACUACGUGCCAGCAGCCGCCGUAACAC
rnacentral:rRNA from 1 species